rnacentral:rRNA from 1 species
CCUACGGGCGGCUGCAGUGAGGAAUAUUGGUCAAUGGCCGGAAGGCUGAACCAGCCAAGCCGCGUGAGGGAGGAAGGCGCAGAGCGUCGCAGACCUCUUUUGCCGGGGGACAAAAGGCCGGACUCGUCCGGUCCUGAGGGUACCCGGAGAAAAAGCAUCGGCUAACUCCGUGCCAGCAGCCGCGGUAAUACGGAGGAUGCGAGCGUUAUCCGGAUUCAUUGGGUUUAAAGGGUGCGCAGGCGGAGGCACAAGUCAGCGGUAAAAUCGCGGGGCUCAACCCCGCUCCGCCGUUGAAACUGUGUCCCUUGAGUGCGCGAAGGGUAGGCGGAAUGCGUGGUGUAGCGGUGAAAUACAUAGAUAUCACGCAGAACUCCGAUCGCGAAGGCAGCCUACCGGCGCGCAACUGACGCUCAUGCACGAAAGCGUGGGUAUCGAACAGGAUUAGAUACCCCAGUAGUC